rnacentral:rRNA from 1 species
AACGAACGCUGGCGGCAUGCCUAACACAUGCAAGUAGAACGAGACCUUCGGGUCUAGUGGCGCACGGGUGCGUAACGCGUGGGAACCUGCCCUUAGGUUCGGAAUAACUCCCCGAAAGGUAUCCUAAUACCGGAUAAUGUCUUCGGACCAAAGAUUUAUCGCCUUUGGAUGGGCCCGCGUUGGAUUAGCUAGUUGGUAGGGUAAAAGCCUACCAAGGCGACGAUCCAUAGCUGGUCUGAGAGGAUGAUCAGCCACACUGGGACUGAGACACGGCCCAGACUCCUACGGGAGGCAGCAGUGGGGAAUAUUGGACGAUGGGCGAAAGCCUGAUCCAGCAAUGCCGCGUGAGUGAUGAAGGCCUUAGGGUUGUAAAGCUCUUUUACCCGGGAUGAUAAUGACAGUACCGGGAGAAUAAGCUCCGGCUAACUCCGUG